rnacentral:rRNA from 1 species
AGAGUUUGAUCCUGGCUCAGGACGAACGCUGGCGGCGUGCCUAAUACAUGCAAGUAGAACGCUGAAGAGAGGAGCUUGCUCUUCUUGGAUGAGUUGCGAACGGGUGAGUAACGCGUAGGUAACCUGCCUUGUAGCGGGGGAUAACUAUUGGAAACGAUAGCUAAUACCGCAUAACAAUGGAUGACCCAUGUCAUUUAUUUGAAAGGGGCAAAUGCUCCACUACAAGAUGGACCUGCGUUGUAUUAGCUAGUAGGUGAGGUAACGGCUCACCUAGGCGACGAUACAUAGCCGACCUGAGAGGGUGAUCGGCCACACUGGGACUGAGACACGGCCCAGACUCCUACGGGAGGCAGCAGUAGGGAAUCUUCGGCAAUGGGGGCAACCCUGACCGAGCAACGCCGCGUGAGUGAAGAAGGUUUUCGGAUCGUAAAGCUCUGUUGUAAGUCAAGAACGAGUGUGAGAGUGGAAAGUUCACACUGUGACGGUAGCUUACCAGAAAGGGACGGCUAACUACGUGCCAGCAGCCGCGGUAAUACGUAGGUCCCGAGCGUUGUCCGGAUUUAUUGGGCGUAAAGCGAGCGCAGGCGGUUUGAUAAGUCUGAAGUUAAAGGCUGUGGCUCAACCAUAGUUCGCUUUGGAAACUGUCAAACUUGAGUGCAGAAGGGGAGAGUGGAAUUCCAUGUGUAGCGGUGAAAUGCGUAGAUAUAUGGAGGAACACCGGUGGCGAAAGCGGCUCUCUGGUCUGUAACUGACGCUGAGGCUCGAAAGCGUGGGGAGCGAACAGGAUUAGAUACCCUGGUAGUCCACGCCGUAAACGAUGAGUGCUAGGUGUUGGAUCCUUUCCGGGAUUCAGUGCCGCAGCUAACGCAUUAAGCACUCCGCCUGGGGAGUACGACCGCAAGGUUGAAACUCAAAGGAAUUGACGGGGGCCCGCACAAGCGGUGGAGCAUGUGGUUUAAUUCGAAGCAACGCGAAGAACCUUACCAGGCCUUGACAUCCCGAUGCUAUUUCUAGAGAUAGAAAGUUACUUCGGUACAUCGGUGACAGGUGGUGCAUGGUUGUCGUCAGCUCGUGUCGUGAGAUGUUGGGUUAAGUCCCGCAACGAGCGCAACCCCUAUUGUUAGUUGCCAUCAUUCAGUUGGGCACUCUAGCGAGACUGCCGGUAAUAAACCGGAGGAAGGUGGGGAUGACGACAAAUCAUCAUGCCCCUUAUGACCUGGGCUACACACGUGCUACAAUGGUUGGUACAACGAGUUGCGAGUCGGUGACGGCAAGCUAAUCUCUUAAAGCCAAUCUCAGUUCGGAUUGUAGGCUGCAACUCGCCUACAUGAAGUCGGAAUCGCUAGUAAUCGCGGAUCAGCACGCCGCGGUGAAUACGUUCCCGGGCCUUGUACACACCGCCCGUCACACCACGAGAGUUUGUAACACCCGAAGUCGGUGAGGUAACCUUUUGGAGCCAGCCGCCUAAGGUGGGAUAGAUGAUUGGGGUGAAGUCGUAACAAGGUA